AUUGAACGCUGGCGGCAGGCUUAACACAUGCAAGUCGAGCGGGGGAAGGUAGCUUGCUACUGGACCUAGCGGCGGACGGGUGAGUAAUGCUUAGGAAUCUGCCUAUUAGUGGGGGACAACAUCUCGAAAGGGAUGCUAAUACCGCAUACGUCCUACGGGAGAAAGCAGGGGAUCUUCGGACCUUGCGCUAAUAGAUGAGCCUAAGUCGGAUUAGCUAGUUGGUGGGGUAAAGGCCUACCAAGGCGACGACCUGGAGCGGGUCUGAGAGGAUGAUCCGCCACACUGGGACUGAGACACGGCCCAGACUCCUACGGGAGGCAGCAGUGGGGAAUAUUGGACAAUGGGGGGAACCCUGAUCCAGCCAUGCCGCGUGUGUGAAGAAGGCCUUAUGGUUGUAAAGCACUUUAAGCGAGGAGGAGGCUACUUUAGUUAAUACCUAGAGAUAGUGGGCGUUACUCGCAGAAUAAGCACCGGCUAACUCUGUGCCAGCCGCCGCGGUAA
rnacentral:rRNA from 1 species